rnacentral:rRNA from 1 species
GACAGAGGGGGCAAGCGUUGCUCGGAAUCACUGGGCGUAAAGGGCGCGUAGGCGGGAUGGCAAGUCAGUCGUGAAAUCUCUCGGCUCAACCGAGAAACGUCGGCUGAUACUGCCGUUCUUGAGGGAUGCAGAGGAGACUGGAAUUCCCGGUGUAGCGGUGAAAUGUGUAGAUAUCAGGAGGAACACCGGUGGCGAAGGCGGGUCUCUGGGCAACAACUGACGCUGAGGAGCGAAAGCGUGGGGAGCGAACAGG